rnacentral:rRNA from 1 species
AGAACGAACGCUGGCGGCAUGCCUAAUACAUGCAAGUCGAACGAACACUUCGGUGUUAGUGGCGCACGGGUGCGUAACGCGUGGGAAUCUGCCCUUGGGUUCGGAAUAACAGUUGGAAACGACUGCUAAUACCGGAUGAUAUCGAAAGAUCAAAGAUUUAUCGCCCAGGGAUGAGCCCGCGUAGGAUUAGCUAGUUGGUGAGGUAAAGGCUCACCAAGGCGACGAUCCUUAGCUGGUCUGAGAGGAUGAUCAGCCACACUGGGACUGAGACACGGCCCAGACUCCUACGGGAGCAGCAGUAGGGAAUAUUGGAC